rnacentral:tRNA from 1 species
GGGUUAUGGCCCAGCGGCAGAGUGCUUGCCUAGCAUGUGUGAGGCCCUGGGUUCGAUCCUCAGGUCCA